CAAUAACCUGAAAUAUUUCGGUAAGUGUGAUCCUGUACAGACUCAACUGAUCAGCAGUGAGAAACAGGAGGAGACUCUCCGUCCUACAGAGAACACAGAGACACUGAGUCACUAGGAGAGAAGAA